CUGUACACUGAUGAAAGAGUCCUCUCUCUGUGUGAAUAUUUAUGGGUCCCUGAAAUUUCUUGUGGAGAGAAAAAGGUUAAAAAACGGAAUUAUUUAUAGUAAUAGCUAAGAUCGUAACUGUAAGUACUAGAAGUUGACUUGACUCAGAUCAAGUAAAAGGGGGAGCUCAUUAUAAGGAUGUAGCUUGUUUUAAUGGAAACCAGGCAGAAACAUAGCUAGGCUCUAGGGAGAAACUAGACUAAAAAUGAGACAUUUUAAUCUGUGCAAAUGUUUCCUUUUCUGGUUGAUUAUUGUUUAAUUUACCCUGAAAACAAGUUUUUUUGUUUUGUUUUGGGGACAAAGAGAUGCCAAAAUAUAGUCACAUCAUAGCUCUUGAGAUGCACUUACUCUAUUGGACUGAAUUAGAAUCUCCCAGCCCCACUUGCAAAUUUCCAACAGAAAGGAGCCAGCAAUGGUAUCAAGAUAGUGCCCCCUGAGGGAGAGGAACCGUGAAGCCAGAAAGAGGUGGCAGAAGCUAUUAGAGGAAGUGGCAAGAUACCUAAGAUAAAUUUCACCUUUUUCACCUGCUUGCUCAGGACAUGUCAGCCCCA
rnacentral:lncRNA from 1 species